UAUGGAUCAAGCACAGAAAAUAAUUCGCGCAUUAUUUCGAUCUCGAAAGGACCUCUUCAACAGACGAUCGUGUGGAAGAAUCGUAAAUCCCUUGUCGUAAAGCUCGUCUCGAUGAACCAAUCACUUAACGGAGGGAACGUGCGAAAAGCCCAGAACAAACGCUUCGCAGUUAUUGCAUGUCGUACGUACGAGCUAUUAAGUGUUUCGACCUUACGUCGAGUGUCAAGACGAGAACGAACGGGCCGCCAGUAGGUUGGCACGCUACGAUUUGUUCGAAUCUAACGAGUAACAUCCUCAUCCGUGAAUUUACCUUUCAACAGAGCCGUUCUAACACGAUCCGCGAUACCUGACCCCCAGUGGCGCGUCAAACCAUCACGGGAUCAAGACGGAAUUGAAUCUGGAGACACUCGAAGGAGGCCAUUCUUAAAUUCAAUCUCAUUGUGUGUUAAGCAGCGUGACACAGUAACGUCGCGCAACGUUGUGCGUAACCGCGCGGUUCGAUUGAAAUUACUGCAAGGAGCAAGAACGAAGAUUCGAGCACUUGGUGCCACAAAUUGUUGCUUAACCGCUUCGACCUAACGCCGAGUGUCAAGAUGGAGGAGAAGUGACUCGAUCUGGCCACUGGGUUAGCAGGGUACUAUUCGCUUGUACUUAACGACUAACAUCCUCAUCUGUGCAUUGUACCUUCCGAGUUAACCCAAUGAUAGCGUACCCUGUAUAUGAUGCAGAUGUGUAGCUUAUGUAUUUAAACCUGUAAUACGUAUCGUGCGGAGCUCGCUUUAACCGCGCUAACAUUGUACUGCUUCGAACUAACAAAGGAAGCACUCGACCUGCCCUCCCCCGCCCCACUCGCCGAUUUUAACAUACUUUUGCAGGAUGGCAAAUGACAGGUCUCUGUGCGUGAAGCAGUAGGUGGAAUGACUCGAUGAUAGCAGAGAUUUCGCUGCUUCGAACUGACAAGGGAAGCACUCGACUCUCUUAGGUUUUAACCCUUUUGACCGCGAAAUGAUAUUUGGUGGGAAUUGUUGGAGGUGUGAAUUUGGAAAAAAUAUCACUUUAUAGAGAACGAGAAGAUUGCACUCUUUUUUAAUUAAAGUUUUUUUGUAGGACGUUUAGUUUUAGAGAUAAAAAUUGAAAACUUAGAAGAACUUCUUCGAUUCUUACGACGAAUUUUCAACUUCUCAACGUUUCGUCUCAUCAUCCCCCAUAAGCUGAUGUUUUUUCAAAAUUUAUGUAGACUGAAUAUUUCUCUGAGCCCGUUUCUCGAGGACGUAUGCAUGUAUACGUCCUUCGCAGUAAAAAGGUUAAUAAGAAAUCUCAGAAACUACUGAAUCAAUCCCAGAAAGUUUCGUAAGGUUUACGACAUAAAUAUUCAUACAUCACAUUUCACACGAAAUUCACCAUCUUCUUCUCAUCUUAAUUUCUAAUCUAUCUACUCUCCAGCUCCCUAAAUAGCAAAACAAAAUUACUAUUCAAUGUUUACUCCUUCUUUACUCAAGGAAUCUCAAAAGCUACUGACUCAAUUAGCUUGAAUUCUCGAAAACACGAAUAUUUGCUGUCUUAAUAGCAAAACAAAAUGUUUACUCAAUGUCUACUCUUCCUCUACCCAAGGAUCCUCAAAAGCUCCCGACCCAAUGAACUCGAAUCCUCGAAACCAUGAAUGUUUGCUACAAGUUUGACGAGUACACGCAUUACUUGAGCACCUGCUAACGGAUUUCCUAUCGAAAGAUAGAAUUUCCUUCGGAGUCACCGUUACCUCGAACGGGGAUUCCAUCGAUGGCUGACUCAACGAGCAACUCCUACGGGUAGAAAGUAGCCAACGCGUGUACACGUAACGUUCUGUGGGAUAACCCCAGCGUUCUAAUGAACCGUGAGCCUGUGUCUAUCGGCAAGUUACGUGCACAGAGUACUCUCGCAGCCUCGACGGCGUGUGCAUCGAGAGAGAUAGAAGAAAGGAGGACGACCGAAAAUAGAUUUAAUGUUAUGUGAACGGCAGAGAGACACGCCAAGCCGCUGGACAACAUGGGGUCACGAUCGUGGAAGAAACGGAACUCUAUAAUAGAGUUUAUGACAGUAGCGCGGAAGGUAAAUCUUUUAAAUGAUGGAUGUACGUGCGAGGGGUGGAAUUGAAUUCAGCAUUCAUACACAGUACAUUCGUACUGUUAUUUCACAUCUUGCAGUUCUCUUCAGGGUUACUCGAAACGAAGAGGAUUUUAAUUGCAGAACGUACAUGUAAAAACCAAUCAUUUAAAAAUGUUUAAAUUGUUCAAUUUUAUUGUCUUUACUUUCAAUUUCUAGACUUUAAUUGAAAAUUUGAUUCUUUGGGUGAAUUUUCUUUCCAUUUAAUUUGGAUAAUCGAUAAAACGUAAUUGCAAGACUUUGUCAACGAAUCUUGCGUUAAGCCUGGACACCUCUGUUCUUCGUCACAAGAACACCAGCAUCACCAGCUGAGUAAUAGACGUCGCAUGGUGCGCAAGCCAGAUGCGCAGGAAACUAUUUAUCAUCUUCUACCGCAAGGUGCAGAUCGCAGAUGUGUACACCGUUAAGGAGCAAUCGGAUAUUUUAGUAAUCAGUCAAACUAUAUAUAAAAGAUUCAUGACUGUGGACGUUUAUGCAACAGAAAAUGAAUUCGAAUAAAAUACCUAAAUUUCGAUGAAGUUAUAAAAAUAAAUAUAUACAGAUGACAUAUGAGAAGUUCUUUAAAGGGAAAAUAUAAAUUAUCUCUUCGUAUUAGUACACGUUUAAAGUAUAUUCUAAAAUUCUUCCAAAUAAAUCAUUGACAGUGGUUUUCACUGAACACCCAAUAAAAUUAAUUCUGAAAGUUAAGUGCCAAAGAAAAUGAAUUCGAAUAAAAUACUUAAAUUUCGACGAAGCCAAGAAUAAAUAUUUGAUAAUUUAA